GAACGCUAGCUACAGGCUUAACACAUGCAAGUCUAGGGGCAGCAUGGUCUUAGCUUGCUAAGGCCGAUGGCGACCGGCGCACGGGUGAGUAACACGUAUCCAACCUGCCGUCUACUCUUGGACAGCCUUCUGAAAGGAAGAUUAAUACAAGAUGGCAUCAUGAGUCCGCAUGUUCACAUGAUUAAAGGUAUUCCGGUAGACGAUGGGGAUGCGUUCCAUUAGAUAGUAGGCGGGGUAACGGCCCACCUAGUCUUCGAUGGAUAGGGGUUCUGAGAGGAAGGUCCCCCACAUUGGAACUGAGACACGGUCCAAACUCCUACGGGAGGCAGCAGUGAGGAAUAUUGGUCAAUGGGCGAGAGCCUGAACCAGCCAAGUAGCGUGAAGGAUGACUGCCCUAUGGGUUGUAAACUUCUUUUAUAAAGGAAUAAAGUCGGGUAUGCAUACCCGUUUGCAUGUACUUUAUGAAUAAGGAUCGGCUAACUCCGUGCCAGCAGCCGCGGUAAUACGGAGGAUCCGAGCGUUAUCCGGAUUUAUUGGGUUUAAAGGGAGCGUAGAUGGAUGUUUAAGUCAGUUGUGAAAGUUUGCGGCUCAACCGUAAAAUUGCAGUUGAUACUGGAUAUCUUGAGUGCAGUUGAGGCAGGCGGAAUUCGUGGUGUAGCGGUGAAAUGCUUAGAUAUCACGAAGAACUCCGAUUGCGAAGGCAGCCUGCUAAGCUGCAACUGACAUUGAGGCUCGAAAGUGUGGGUAUCAAACAGGAUUAGAUACCCUGGUAGUCCACACGGUAAACGAUGAAUACUCGCUGUUUGCGAUAUACAGCAAGCGGCCAAGCGAAAGCGUUAAGUAUUCCACCUGGGGAGUACGCCGGCAACGGUGAAACUCAAAGGAAUUGACGGGGGCCCGCACAAGCGGAGGAACAUGUGGUUUAAUUCGAUGAUACGCGAGGAACCUUACCCGGGCUUAAAUUGCAGAUGAAUUACGGUGAAAGCCGUAAGCCGCAAGGCAUCUGUGAAGGUGCUGCAUGGUUGUCGUCAGCUCGUGCCGUGAGGUGUCGGCUUAAGUGCCAUAACGAGCGCAACCCUUGUUGUCAGUUACUAACAGGUUCCGCUGAGGACUCUGACAAGACUGCCAUCGUAAGAUGUGAGGAAGGUGGGGAUGACGUCAAAUCAGCACGGCCCUUACGUCCGGGGCUACACACGUGUUACAAUGGGGGGGUACAGAGGGCCGCUACCACGCGAGUGGAUGCCAAUCCCAAAAACCUCUCUCAGUUCGGACUGGAGUCUGCAACCCGACUCCACGAAGCUGGAUUCGCUAGUAAUCGCGCAUCAGCCACGGCGCGGUGAAUACGUUCCCGGGCCUUGUACACACCGCCCGUCAAGCCAUGGGAGCCGGGGGUACCUGAAGUGCGUAACCGCGAGGAGCGCCCUAGGGUAAAACUGGUGACUGGGGCUA
rnacentral:rRNA from 1 species